rnacentral:rRNA from 1 species
AUUGAACGCUGGCGGCAUGCCUUACACAUGCAAGUCGAACGGCAGCAUGAUCUCGCUUGCUAGAUUGAUGGCGAGUGGCGAAGGGGUGAGUAAUACAUCGGAACGUGCUCUGUAGUGGGGGAUAACUAGUCGAAAGAUUAGCUAAUACCGCAUACGACUUGAGCGGGAUAGUGGGGGACCGCAAGGCCUCAUGCUAUAGGCGCGUCCCAUGUCUGAUUAGCUAGUUGGUGAGGUAAAGGCUCACCAAGGCGACGAUCAGUAGCUGGUCUGAGAGGAUGAUCAGCCACACUGGGACUGAGACACGGCCCAGACUCCUACGGGAGGCAGCAGUGGGGAAUUUUGGACAAUGGGCGAAAGCCUGAUCCAGCAAUGCCGCGUGUGUGAAGAAGGCCUUCGGGUUGUAAAGCACUUUUGUCCGGAAAGAAAUGGUUCUGGUUAAUACCUGGGGUCGAUGACGGUACCGGAAGAAUAAGGACCGGCUAACUACGUG